UACCAACAAUCGUACCCCAAACCGACACAGGUGGUCAGGUAGAGAAUACUCAGGCGCUUGAGAGAACUCGGGUGAAGGAACUAGGCAAAAUGGUGCCGUAACUUCGGGAGAAGGCACGCUGGCGGUAAGUAAAGUCCCUUGCGGACGGCGCUGAAGCCAGUCGAAGAUACCAGCUGGCUGCAACUGUUUAUUAAAAACACAGCACUGUGCAAACACGAAAGUGGACGUAUACGGUGUGACGCCUGCCCGGUGCUG
rnacentral:rRNA from 1 species